GAUGCUGUGGCCGAAAGGUGAGGCAUGGCUCAGCAAAAGCCGUUAUACUGGUUCAAAUCCGGUCAGCAUCG
rnacentral:tRNA from 2 species